ACUAAAAUUUUGUGUGUGAAUCAAUAAGGAAUCAAGAGAGAGAAAUCAGUUUAUUGAAUUAAAGAAUCUCUCUUAAUUAUUAUCAUUACUCAAACAAACUCUACAUCAUAUACGCUUUCUAAGUAUGUGAAAAUUUAAUUUAUUCAAAAAUCAUUGUUAAGGUGAUAAUUAAAUUUUAUAUUUUUUAUUUACAUUAUAUUUAUGAUUAUUAUGAUCUAUUAAGAAUUUUACAUGUGUACAUUUAUAUUACCAAUAUUACUCUCACAAUUCAAAUAUUAAUGCCUCAUAACAAUUAUAUGGCGCUUCAAGCUCAUGGUUAAUUAGUUAUAUACCCAUUUAACUAGUGAUAGAGGUGAUAUUUUAAAUCAUCAGUAAUUUGUUUAAAUUCGCACCCAAUUCAAAUAAAUACUCAAAAUUGAGGAUUAAUCUAAUAAUUUGUAUGACUUGAUUGACCCUUCGUUUCGAUCAACUCUAAUUUUGAUUAAAAAUUAAAUGACUUGAAAUAUUUUUUAAUGAAAAUUAACAUUUUGAUUAAUAUUAACAUUUCGAUAUGAAAUAACCCGCAAGCAUCAACCCCUUUAAAUCCACAUUCAAUUUCAAAUGAUUUAAAUCCAAAUAAUUUGUAAAACUAAGAGCCAACUCUAUUAUUUGACUCAAAAUUGACAUAUUUUAAGUUGAUCUAAUCAAUCUGAA
rnacentral:misc_RNA from 1 species